rnacentral:rRNA from 1 species
UAAGCGAAUAGUGAAAUCUGGUGGCUCAACCAUCAACACAUUGUUCGAACUGCCGGUCUCGAGAAUGGUAGAGGUAGCUGGAAUUUCUUGUGUAGGAGUGAAAUCCGUAGAUAUAAGAAGGAACACCAAUGGCGUAGGCAGGUUACUGGACCAUUUCUGACACUGAGGCACGAAAGCGUGGGGAGCGAACGGGAUUAGAUACCCCGGUAGUCCACGCCGUAAACGAUGGAUACUA